GGGUCAUCAGCGGCAGACGGGUGAGUACACGUAGGUAUCUACCCCAGAGAGGGGGAUAACGGGUGGAAACAUCCGCUAAUACCGGAUAGACUUGUUCGGUCAAAGGGACAAUGAAAGGCUCCGGCGCUCUGGGAGGAGCCUGCGGNCCAUCAGCUAGUUGGCGGGGUAACGGCCCACCAAGGCAAAGACGGGUAGGGGGUGUGAGAGCAUGGCCCCCCACAAUGGGACUGGAACACGGCCCAUACUCCUACGGGAGGCAGCAGCAGGGAAUAUUGCACAAUGGACGGAAGUCUGAUGCAGCGACGCCGCGUGGAUGAAGAAGGCCCUCGGGUUGUAAAAUCCUUUACAGGGGGAAGAGGAAGGACGGUACCCCUGGAACAAGUGUCGGCUAACUACGUGCCAGCAGCCGCGGUAAGACGUAGGACACAAGCGUUAUCCGGAUUUACUGGGCGUAAAGCGUCUGCAGGCGGACAGGUAAGUUGGGCGUGAAAGCUCCGGGCCCAACCCGGAGAGGUCGUUCAAUACUGCGUGUCUAGAGGGUGUCAGAGGGGAGUGGAAUUUCCGGAGUAGCGGUAAAAUGCGCAGAGAUCGGAAAGAACACCAAUGGCGAAGGCAGCUCCCUGGGGCAACCCUGACGCUAAGAGACGAAAGCUAGGGGAGCGAACAGGAUUAGAGACCCUGGUAGUCCUAGCCCUAAACGAUGGAUGCUGGAUGUGGGGCCAUAGCGCUCCGUGUCGAAGCGAACGCGUU
rnacentral:rRNA from 1 species